rnacentral:rRNA from 1 species
UCGAGCGACCACUUCGGUGGGAAGCGGCGAACGGGUGAGUAACACGUAGGUGAUCUGCCCAUCAGACGGGGACAACGAUUGGAAACGAUCGCUAAUACCGGAUAGGACGAAAGUUUAAAGAUGCUCUUGGCAUCACUGAUGGAUGAGCCUGCGGCGCAUUAGCUAGUUGGUGGGGUAAAGGCCUACCAAGGCGACGAUGCGUAGCCGACCUGAGAGGGUGAACGGCCACACUGGGACUGAGACACGGCCCAGACUCCUACGGGAGGCAGCAGUAGGGAAUCUUCGGCAAUGGGCGAAAGCCUGACCGAGCAACGCCGCGUGAAUGAAGAAGGCCUUCGGGUUGUAAAAUUCUGUUAUAAGGGAAGAAAGGUGAUAGGAGGAAAUGACUAUCAAUUGACGGUACCUUAUGAGAAAGCCACGGCUAACUACGUGCCAGCAGCCGCGGUAAUACGUAGGUGGCAAGCGUUAUCCGGAAUUAUUGGGCGUAAAGAGCGCGCAGGUGGUUAAUUAAGUCUGAUGUGAAAGCCCACGGCUUAACCGUGGAGGGUCAUUGGAAACUGGUUGACUUGAGUGCAGAAGAGGGAAGUGGAAUUCCAUGUGUAGCGGUGAAAUGCGUAGAGAUAUGGAGGAACACCAGUGGCGAAGGCGGCUUCCUGGUCUGCAACUGACACUGAGGCGCGAAAGCGUGGGGAGCAAACAGGAUUAGAUACCCUGGUAGUCCACGCCGUAAACGAUGAGUGCUAAGUGUUGGGGGUCGAACCUCAGUGCUGAAGUUAACGCAUUAAGCACUCCGCCUGGGGAGUACGGUCGCAAGACUGAAACUCAAAGGAGUUGACGGGGACCCGCACAAGCGGUGGAGCAUGUGGUUUAAUUCGAAGNCACGCGAAGAACCUUACC